rnacentral:rRNA from 1 species
UACGGAGGGUGCAAGCAUUGAUCGGAAUUACUGGGCGUAAAGGGCGCGUAGGUGGUUCAAAAAGUCGGAUGUGAAAUUCCGGGGCUCAACCCCGGAGCUGCAUUUGAAACUUUUGAACUAGAGUAUAGUAAGGGUAAACGGAAUUCCACGUGUAGCGGUGAAAUGCGUAGAUAUGUGGAAGAACACCAGUGGUGAAGACGGUUUACUGUGCUAUAACUGACACUGAGGCGCGAAAGCUAGGGGAGCAAACAGG